CCUCCUGGCCUUAAGUGAUCCGCCCGCCUCGGCCACCCACAGUGCUGGGAUUCCAGGCGUGAGCCACCGCGCCGGCCCUGAACUGGAUUUCAAAGGAUGAAUAGCAGUUUGCCAAGCAGACAGGAGGUACAGGGAACAGCAGGUGCCAGGCCCUGGAAGUGUAAACCGUCACAGGAUGAUGCGGAAAAUACAGGAAAGUGACUUUGCCAAACCACCAAAUAUGAGGCCAGGGCGUGAUGGGAGACAAGGUUGGAGAUCACCAGGCGUCCUGCCAAAAGCUUUUCAUCCUGUAGGCAGCUGGGUACCGCAAAAGGUUAUUAAACUGAGGAAUGACAGUUGUAUUUGAAUUUCCGCUAGAGCUCUUUGAGCAGUGUGGAGAAUGAAUGUUAAGACAAAUUCUACUUAGGAAGCAAAGAUCCUGGAGGAAGGGGGGGGCCUGAGCUAUGCAGGCGACGGUGAGAGAAGGGCAUGGAGUCAACACCUGUUUGGAAAAUAGAAUUGACAUGUGGGGGUGCCAAUGGGAUAACGCAGAUGACAAAAAGGGGUGUCAUCUCCAUAUCCUCCUUUAAGAGCAGAAGCCUUAGUUCAGACGCGCUCUACAAAGUUCCAACCAUGGACAUGGGGACAAGAAAGCCAGGGCAUAUGGUCACCUUGGACCCAGGACACCCACGACCAGUGAUUUUUGUUUUUUGAGACGGUGUCUCACUCUGCCGCCUAGGCUGGAGUGGGUGGCGCAAUCUCAGCUCACUGCAACCUCCGCCUCCUGGGUUUAAGUGAUUCUCCUGCCUCAGCCUCCUGAGUAGCUGUGACUGCAGGCGUGCACCGUGGUGGAUGUUUUGUUAUCACUGUUUCCUAUGCCGCAUUUGAACAGCCUACCUGUCUGAGGAGAAGGGAGCCUCCGUGGUGGGGCUCUGCGUGGCAGAGAUUUCUGGUAACUGGGACAGACACCAGUCCAGGCACUUGACUGCCUGACUUGAAUCUGGAGUGAUGUCCCAAAGAAACAAACAGGUGGCUUACCUCAUAGUGGCAAAAGGGCUGCAGGAGCUCUAGGACUCACAUGCAUCCUCCGUCAUGAACAAGAAGAGGAGGGAACCACCCAGGAAGGUCGCUCCUAAAACCCUGACCCACAGAAACUGAACUAACACAUGUUUAUGGUUGUUUUAAAGCAGUCGGUUUUGAGGUCGUCUGUUACUCGGCAAGAUGUAAUGAAUGCAGCAGUUCUUCCAUUCCCAGGCUUUCCUGCAGUUGACUGAGUUCUCCGGUGACUGUGAGCAGGACUGAUGCGUGCCACUUGCAGGCCCACCCAUACGAACUUCCCUCCAAUACCUGUGCAGCCUCCAUGUCCCGUCCUGCAGGCUUCAGGUCCCCUAGGCCAGCCAUGGGGGCCACAAACUGAAGACAAGAGGAAGAAGUCUGGGGCCCUCAUCGUGGCAGGAGGAGAGCUGCCCAGGAAUACUGCCUGACCAGAGACACCACAUGAGACUCCAUGAGCAGGAAAUAAAUCUUCAUGUUUAAGCCACUGA